rnacentral:lncRNA from 1 species
AGAAACCGAGUCCAACCACCUAAGCUGAAGCAAAAAAAGGAAAAAAUUGCUUAUUUUCCAAAAGCAGCAAUGUGUUCUCGGAUCGAGUUCAACCUUCGGCUUCACGUUGUCCAUGCGAUGCAAUUCCAAAUCCCAAACCUAAGCUGAAGCAAAAAAAGGAAAAAAUUGCUUAUUUUCCAAAAGCAGCAAUGUGUUCUCGGAUCGAGUUCAACCUUCGGCUUCACGUUGUCCAUGCGAUGCAAUUCCAAAUCCCAAACGCGAUGAAUAAAAGUUCAGUGCGCCACAAACACGAUGCAAAGCUUCAAGCCUCAAAUCAAAUGCCACAGCUUCUUCUUCAUACACGAAAUCGAAGAUGAACCACAACGAACACGAUGAAUUCAACGACGAACACGACGAACUCAACAUUCAAUCAACGUCAACCUCCAAUCGUGAUUCAAACUCUAUGUGCACGGAAUCGAAAUGAAAACGGAAAGAAAACGACGAAGACUCACUGAAUCGGAACAUGUAUCGAUUUCUCUGAAUUGCUCUCUUUUCUUCUUCCUCUGUUUGAAUUGUAUGCGUGAAUUCUUGCGUGAAUUUUGAGUUUGUGUGUGAAUUUGUGAUUGCUGAACGAUUGUUGAUGCGUGAAUUCUUGCGUGCGCUUUGCUGAAUGCGUAUUGUUGAUAGAUUGUUGCAGUGUUUUUCUAUUGCGUGAUGCUUUCCUUAUUAUGAGAUUCUGUUAUGUUGUGAAAGAGUGAAGAAUCGUUUUCUAUGCGUGAUUUUUCCAUCCCUCUUGUUCGGAGAAAAUCAGUGAAUGAUGAAAAAAUGGACGAAUGAAAAAAAUGGAUUUGAUGGAAAAAAAGUGGAUCCCCGAUGAUACGUGAUGAUGUUGAAUUUAUAGAACUCAAUAUUAUGUUUGAAAUUCACAUGAAACUCAACUUGAAAUACAGUUUUCGGUUAGAAAUGAAAUAGUUAGUUCAAUCAAAAUUUAAUUGGAAUUCAAAGUGAAAUGUAAAUGUUAUUUGGUGUUGAUUAGUGUUAGUGAAUUUGAAAAUGAAAUCCAAGUGGAAUGAAGGUGAAAUGUCAAAUGAAAAUCGAAUUGUCAUGAAAUUAUUUGGACAUGAAUUUACUUGUGAGGAACUAGUAUUAAUGAAGGUAGGUUAAAAUGCAAGUUUUGUUUUGCGGACUUGGAUGAAAUUCUGAAAUGUAAUGUGUAGGUGAAAUCAAAAUGUUGUUUUGAACUACUUUGGUUUAUGCAGGUGUUUGAAAUGCAAGUCUUUAGCUACUGUUAUGCUCGAGUUUGGACAUGGAAACUGACUUGAGCUCAUGGAGCUCGUGAAAUUAGCCAUUGGAGCUUGGGCUGUUUUGUUAUGGUUCUGAGUUUUGUAUGAGCAGACAUGGGUUGUGGAAUGGCUAGGAUGGUUUUUAGUGCAUUGGCUUGGUGUAUUGGAUCAUGGUUGCUGUUGUAAUACAUUGGCUAUUGGUUUGGCUUUGGGAUUGGAUUAGAUGUUGAAUGUUUUUUUAGGGUUCAUUUUUGUAGUGAAUGUAAUUGGAAUUUUGUAUGAAAAUUGAAUUGUAGGUGAAUGUACAUUGGAAUUGUUGUAGUUGGAAAUGGUUGUAAUAUAUUUAUGGAAUUGUAAUAUGAUGAACUUGUAUGAAAGUGUUGAAUUGAAAUGUAAUAAAAAUGGUUGUGUAAUGAGAUGAUAUGCUAUAAGUUAGGCUU